GUGAAGAAGCGCCUUCGGGUCGUAAAGCUCUGUGACUUGGGAAGAAUGUAUUGUGCUYUAUUACCCAUGAAUUUGACGGUCCCACUAAAGGAAGCACCGGCUAACUCCGUGCCAGCAGCCGCGGUAAUA
rnacentral:rRNA from 1 species